rnacentral:lncRNA from 10 species
GAGGAGGCGGGAGCCGGGAAGGAGGGGAGCCUAGGCCCGGCGUGGGGAGGCCGGCAGGAAGGGCCUCGAGCCCAGUGCGGACCUUUCUUCAGCCUCUGUGCGACCGAGCCGCGCGCCAGGCUCCUGUGCGAGGAGGACGCGCUGACUCCCUCCGACCUGGGCUCCGAUGGAGCAGAAAUAGCGGGACCUGGACUUGUGGCGCGCCUGGUGCCACAUCUCGGGCUCUGCGAGCGUCCUGGCGCGGGAUCCUGCCGUUUGCAUCCAAGAGAGGGGAGGACAGGGGCAAAAGGAUGCAGGGAGGCUGCUGAUUUCCACUGAAGAGCUAAUUUCCUGUGAGACAUUAACAGUGAUUUAAGAAAAAGAUUCCUGUAACUGUAAUGUCUUACAAUAACAGAAUGCAGGAGAGCACAUAUCAAUGAAGAAAAGACAAAAUGUACUUAUCCAUGAAGCUGAGGUUAAGAAACCAGUGUCUUCAAGAGCCAGGGACAGCACUGGGUCUGUGCAGAGUUGAGAGAUGGUGAUGACAUGUGGUUUCCAGCAUUCCUCACCCAGUCCAGGGACACUGUGGGUGUGCCCAGCUUAAGUCCAGUAACUGGAAAUACAAGCCCAAGUUCUGGAGAGUUUGAGCUGCAGAGAUAUAUAUGGGAACACUUUGAAUCUUGACUCAUUGGCCAUAACCAGCAGAGUGGAAAAUACAAGAAGAGAAAAAAACAUUGAACUGCGAUUUUAUAACAUCCUUUACUAGGCAGAGAGAAGAGGAAA